AAUUCCAAAGAUCAAUAAAGAUCAAGAGGCCCUCUGGGCAAAGGGCCUGUUCAGUGUGGACUUGAUCACAGGCUGCUGGCCAGCGGGGAAGAUGGAAGUCGCCGGCUUGACUGAGACAUUCACCCCAGCCUUAGAUUUAGGGCAGGACCCUCUCACUGUGUGGUCACCCUUUAUUUUCUCAGCUCUUAUUUAAAAAGAAGAAGAAAAAAAGAAUGUCUGGACAACAGCUAAGGCAGGCAUCCAGAAAUAGGAACACUUUUCUUAGAACACAGCCCAGAUGCAAACAUCAGGAGCAGACACUGCCCAGAUGGCGGCUUUACCCCAGCUGGACUCCUCUGAGGCUUUGGUGGUGGACAGCCCUGUGCCGCAAGCUGGAGUAAGCCGAUUCUCCCCAUGGGGGAAGCAGCAUUCCCUGUUCCUGCCUCUCUGCAAUCUCAGCGAGUCCCCAGCCUUACAGAGCUUCAUGCAGAUGGGCUCAAAUUCCUAGAUGCUACGGGAACGUCACCAACUCCAGCGCACUCCCCUUUAAGCCUGUGGCAGUCUCCUCUUCAACCCCACCUUCUCUGGGUUCUUCCCACAGCCCCUGUUUCCUGGGGGUUUGGCAAAGCCAAGUCACCCUGUGGGUCUCAGCCAUUGGGGACUAAAAGCCUAUCUGCCUCUCCCUCCCCUGGGAGCUCAGAAGUAUGCAUGAAAGGGUGGCCUGGGAGCUGCCUCCCACCUGGCAGCUCACUGGUUCCACCUGCAGCUGUGGAGGGGAUCCUGGCCUCAGGCAAGUCUGCCUCCGUCUGAAGCCCCACUUCCUCAUCGGUCUCUACGGGGAGUCGUGGUAUCAUCACAGGACUUUGGGUAGUUUUAAAGAGAUAAUAGGUAAAAAUACUUUGUACAACCAUUCAUUAUCAAUGAGAACAUUUGUACGAGCCUAGCAUGAGAACUGACUCACAUCUAUCCACUUGGGCUCAAUUACUCAAUGGGUUUAUCAGCAGUCAAAGAACCAAUGGAGUCUGGGCUUCACCCAAGGAUUAUGGACUCAUUUUUAUAGGACCUGAGGCAAAUACUAUUAGGAAUACAAAUGCGUUGCUUAAAAAUAUCAUGGGAUAUAUCUCAAAGUAAAUUGAGGACAAGCUUUCAUUGCACCCCCUCCAGGAGAUGAGUGAGUGAACUUGGGGGAAACCGGCCGAUCGGCAGACAUUUAGUUCGGUGUCACUCAUUGCCCCCGGUCCUGUGUUUUGUUCCCCAAAGCCCUACAGCAAGAAAGAAGGGAAGAUGGAAAUGAUUGGGAGUGAAUGUUCAGAACGAGCCUGUUCUCAGACCGGCAAGGUGGGACCCAGUCCCAACUCACCAUUCCACUGUACUGGUGUAGAGACCAGGAGAGACUUAACUAACGGGAAGUGACUUGGCUAACAUCAUGGGGCCAGUGUGGGCAGACCCAGAGCUCAUGCCCAGGCCUUCUGAUGACAAGGCCGGGAUGUUACGUAGGCGUCCCUUCAAAGGGAACCAGUCUCCUCCAACGGUGCCCAUGGUGACCGCUCCAGGACAAACACACUGUCAGCUGACCCACAUCCUAGAUCCUUGACAACUGAGAAAAACUAAAGCAGAACAGAGACAAGCCAGAAUGGAAAAGGAUUGAUCGGGCUGUCGUCCAAUGGGAAAGACAAGCACAAUGACUAAGAAUAAGCCCAAGCAGAUUGCUGACAAGUAAAAACGAUGCCAUGUAGACGAAGCUGUUAAUAGGACUUAAGAAAGAGCAAGAAUGGAGAAAGGGAAGAACAGAGAGAAGAGAAAGAAAAAGAGGCAAUGUGAGGAAGAGAGAGGGGGAAAAGGGAAGCAAAGGAAGGGGGAGAGAAUGAGAGACAGACAGAUAUACGCACUCUCCCCUUUAUGAUUCUACUGACCCAUGGAGUUUUUCCGUCCUUGCCAUUUUGGCUGUUUUUGACUCACUAGAAGUUGUUUUUGAAGCCAGUUCCUAGUCAUGAAACUAAACAUGAAAUGAUCGCUCUGGUGAAGCAAAAGCAUCAAACAAAUGACCUAUCAGGAUCCAAGAGCAGCCAUGCAGAAAGCCCAUGGGCUGAAGCAGGUGGUGGCCUGGUGCUGCUGCUGAUCACCUGGACUACUGUGGGCAGCUGACAUCACCUCCUGAGCAUCACUUUCUUCAUCUGUAAAGUGAAUUCGGAAGUGUCAAGUGGAGUUGUUGUGAGAAUUAAAUAAAACAAGCCAGCUUUUCUAGCCAAUUAGACUUUCCUAUCAAACAAUUCCUUCUUAAAAACAAAUUGAUAGUGGUUUUACUUUAAAAACCUAAUAUAAAUUGAUACCCAACAUGGCGUUUUGGAAAGCUUUUAUUUAGAGGAAGAGUUAGGAGCAGUUUGCUACCUCUUGCACUAAUUCUUCUUAUAAAAUAACCAGUAAAGCCUCUUCUUCAAACCCAGCACCAGGAGUGAGGCCUUUACCUCCUCUAGGACCUGACACUAGGAACCCACUGUUGCCUUUGUCCUGGUGGCUGACCAGGAUCUGCCAUCUCCUUCUGCACUACAAUAAUUCUCCUGUCUUCCCUUCACAGCCCUUCCUUUUCUUUCCGUUGUUUUAGUAGGAAAAACAACUAAAUUCUGAAUUUCUCCUUAUAAGUGUGUUUUUCUACCUGCCAACAUUUGCUGGUCAACUUGCUACUUUCUGAAGCCCCAAGGUCCUGGAUCCAAAUUUGCAUUCAACACAUGUUUGCCUUAAUCUUGGAUCUACCAAAUAUUUUCCUUAGGCUUUGAACAUGAGCUGUAUUCCUUAGUUAUUACAAUGCAAAAUGCCAUUCCAACAGCAAUUCUGAUUCACUCCAAACCCUGUUAUACUAUGGAAAUUCAACAGAUCACCAAUUGAGGGGGCACCAUGGAAGCACAGUGCCCCCAUCUUUCUUUAUUUGGAGUUCAAAAUCCAGCAUGGUCCAGGGAUCACCACCAGCCUCCUCCUUUCCCUAAAUUCCAGGAUUGUUAACUCUGGAGGAUUCAUCAAAGAAGAGUUACAUUCUCCCUGCUGACACGCCACACAGCCCCUUCCCAUUUCCAGGGGGUUUGUGCAAGCUGUAAAUCCCCGGGGCAUCUGAAUUCCCCUUAAACAAAAGUCUGUCUCCUAACCAAACAGAACCUUCUUGAAGUCAGCAAAAUGGCUACUUUGUGGCAUUAAAAGGAUUUUUCCUCCCAUAGCCUUGUUUUCUUUUGGCCUCCCUUCCUCCCAGAACUUAAGAAGCAAAUGGGAAGAGAAGUGUGCGAGGAAAAGAAUGAAAGGAACAAUGACGUAUAAUAUCCCAAAAAAGAUCUCUGACCAGUAAUGAUAGGGUUGCUAGCUGGGAAGCAAGGAUCACUGAAACCACAGCCUUUCCACUGUCUUAGAAGCUAUAAUCACACUCUAAACAUAAAGGUAUGGCAUCCAAACCACCCACUGUUCCCUCCCAGUGCGGGCCUGGAAGCCACACUCUCAGUUACACUGUCAUCACAUGGGUCACAUUUUGCCACUAGGAGCUCAAUCCUGCGAUUCUGGAUAGCAUUCUUGAUCUGGGUCUCUAUGUAAUUAUGACUGACUAUGGGCUGUAGAGGUGGAGAGUUAUAAAGCUCUAUAAUGGCCCUAUUAGUAAAAUGAGGCUCAAAUUCUAUGGCAUGGGCACAAACGUACAUGUAUAUGCUCAGAAGUCUUUCUGUAACACAAAGAACCCAUGUGGUACACAAACCCAAUUCUGUACUCAACCUACAUAAAAUGAAAAUAUUGGUUAUAAAUUUUAACAUGUAAUUAAUUGCUUGCCUUCUUACAGUUUAAAGGCUUGUGGACAGAUGUUUUGAAUAAACUAAGCUUCUUAAUAUAUAUAAAAAAGGCAAGUUAAAACUGGUAUUUAUUCUUCUUCAAUAUAUUUUUCUGUAGCCAAUGUAAGUAUUUAAGAAGUUGUCAGUGUUUUUAAGCUUGAGGAGGUCAGGAUCCAUACGUUAUGUUAACUGGAUAGA
rnacentral:lncRNA from 1 species